UUUUCUAGUUGGAUUUGC
rnacentral:rRNA from 1 species